rnacentral:rRNA from 1 species
AAGCAUGCAAGUCGAGCGGCAAGAUUAGUGCUUGCACUAAUCCUAGAGUGGCGGACUGGUGAGUAACGCGUGGGUGACGUACCCUUUUGAUGGGGAUAGCUACUAGAAAUAGUAGAUAAUACCGAAUACGAUUCCGUAAGUUAGAGGUGCGGAAUGAAAGGAGCUUCGGCUCCGCAGAAGGAACGGCCCGCGUACCAUUAGCUAGUUGGUGUGGUAACGGCAUACCAAGGCGAUGAUGGUUACCCGGCCUAAGAGGGUGAUCGGGCACAUUGGGACUGAGAUACGGCCCAGGCUCCUACGGGAGGCAGCAGCUAAGAAUAUUCCGCAAUGGA